CCCGGUGCGGGGCUGUGCCCGCCGCCCCGCGGGGCCCGUCCGGCCGCGGGGCUGUCCCUGCGAGCCCUGCGCUCUCUCGGCGCCGCGCUGCCAUCCCCGGCCCGCGGGCGGGGGGCCGUGUUAUCCGAGUGCUCGGGGUCGCCCAUGUGGCGCAGGGUGGGUGUCUCGCCAUAGCUGCCACAUCUUCAAAGUCAGCUGUCACAUCUGCAAAGUCAGGCUUUUCUGGCGUCCAGAAGUUUCAGGUGCGCAGCUGUUCGCAGGUGUCACUGCUUAUUCCGUAGUGUGGAGGUGAAGUUCUUUGGCCGCUGACCCUGCGUGCCCCAAACUUUAAAAGUUUGUAGUUUUCUUGCUGGGAAUGUACCUGUCUGAAGACGCUCCCCUAAAGACAACACACGUUGUGCAUGCAAGGUUACCUAGGAAUGCAGAACGUGCUGAAAGUGUAUAAAAGGUUUAGCUUGACAGAUUAAAUUAAAAGGCAACGAAUCUUAAAGCAGAUACGGUCUGAAGUUGUGGACCGUGUUUCUGCUGUGUGAGGCAGUGCAGGCUGAGCUGCCUGACACAGAAGCUGCAUUCUCAACAGAUCCAUGCCCACGCUAGAACCCAGAGUGAGUUAAAAUACUGUUUUUUGUAUUUGUUAUUGCAUGCUGUAUUAACUGUACACUCUGUGUGUGUGUGUGUAGAUGUAAACCCCCCAAAAUAUACAAACUCUAUCUGGCUGAUGUUUUUUGAUUUCUGACAACAGUAGGGAAGGAAAGUGUCUGAAGUGGUUAAUGGGGAUGCUUGUAAAAAAUCCUCACAGCUGUGGACAGAGCUUUAAGAGAAAACAUCGAGGUGCUUAUUUUAAAAGUCUAAAAUGCCUGUGGGGAGUUACAAGAGGGGAGAUCAUAAGAUGGUUUGUGUUUGAACUGACCUUUACAGUUAAUCUAGUUCAACCCCCCUGCCAUGGGCAGGGACACUUUUCACCAGACCAGGCUGCUCAAAGCCCUAUCCAGCCUGUCUUUGAACACUUCCAGAGAUGGGGCAUCCACAGCAUCUGAGCAACCUGUUCUAGUGCCUCAUGUUCUUUAUUAUUAAAAAAUAAAUCUUCCUAAUAUACAGUAUAAAUCCAUUCCCUGUUUAAAGCCAUUGGUCCUUAUCCUGUAACUACAGGUCUUGUUAAAAAAAUGACACAACACUUGUUAAAAACCUUUAAAAGUACAUUACAUGUUCAGCUAGUUGAUUUUGCCACUAAAACUUCUGUGUGCAAAACUUUUGGUAGAAAACAGUUUUCUGCUGCUGCUUGUUUUGUAAUUCUUAACAGAUUUUGAAAAAUGCAUAACAAGUUCCAGAUGGCUUUUCUUUGGUAUCAUCCGUAUCUUAAGGAGGGAUUGUGGAAGCAGAAGGCUUCGGUUACUAUCUCUUGAAUUCUGAAGAUAAAAGCAAAGGAUUGGAAUGUGUUUGUGUUUCUAAAAGGAAAAAAGAAAAUCCAGGGUUUUUUUGCUAGUAAGCAUUUAAACGCAUUCUACAGUAGAACAAGAUGAAGGAAAGCAUCCUAUCAACCACAGCUUCACUUCAGUUUCUCUUGUAGCCCAACAGAUUGUCUUGUUUGUGCAAAGGAUACACUUGUCUGGUAAACUGGGAGGAAAAGAAAGCUUCCUCCUCCUCUGAGCUUUGUGUGAAGUCGCUGCUGCAGGUGCCUGUUUGCUGCUCACUCAGUAAACACUGGAAGAAAGGGUUCAUGUGCUUGUGUUAUGCAGUCAUCUGUUAAAAUUGCCACUGAUGCCAUGCUGGAAUAAUGUAAGAAAUGUUCAUAGACUGCUUGAGCUGACCAUUGAUCUGCCAUGAAGGAAAAUGCAGCUACUUUUUAUUGUCACUAUUGGAAGAGAAUAACAGGUGUUGGCUCACGUGCUUUAAGUAAAUACACCUGGUGUUACAGAGGGAGCUGGUUAAAGAUGCUUCAUAUGGAGUUGUUCUGUCUUUAUUCUUUAGGAAAAUUCAGGUUGGAGUGCUUUUUCAUAUUUUAAUGAGGAGGACUUAAAGAAGCAUAAGAAUUUAAAAAUCUUGAGAAGAGUAAUGCUGCUAAUGAGACACAAAUCCUCUGUGGAGCCUGAGCCUAGUGGUGUCUAAGUGGCUCUGAAAACUGCUGUUCUAACUGUGCAAGUACUGGGAAUAGGAAGUGUUUGCACCACAUUUAAUUUGAUAUCUUGCUGUGUUGAAGAUGUUUUGGGCUGCUGUUGGCUGGACCGGGAAACAGCUGUAACAGUUAACUUUCUUAUAAAGCUGUCUAAAAUAAAGGCAUGCACAUGAAGGAAAAUAUCCAUCUUACUCGCAGUAUGUGACAAAGCUUUGCAGACAUGAUGGAAUUUUAGCAUUCAGAAAUUAAUUAAUGGAUGCUUAGCCGAACAGAGCAGAAAGUAGAGCAAGAGAGAUAAAAUUUCCUAGAAUCUUUAUAAAUUGAAGAAUUUAAUUACAAUUUUGAGCAAUGUGUGUUUCUGUUCCUCUAGUACAUUCACAACUCGAACUGCGUUUUAAGACGUUUUAUAGGCUUGAUGACAUCAAUUCAGUAGCAUAGCCAAGUACGACUGCUGCUAGAUGAACUGUGGGGGUGUUAAGAUGAAUCUGAAAAAUUAGUACUUUGUUGAUGUGAAGAUAUUUUUAGUUCCCAGGUGUGUUUAUCUCCUAUUACCUAAAUGAAAUGAAUAAGGAAAAAAGCCAACAAACCCAAACUUGACCUUGAGAGUUCCCAGGCAAUGAUAUCUCCAUUUAUGAUAGUUUGUUCUUAUUCAGGGGAAGAAAAAAAUUGAUCCCCUGACCUGAGGGUUUCCUCAGAGCUACAAGGUAUCACUUUGCUGCUUCUUUUUGCAGUGGAAGUGAUGGCUUAAGCAUGUCAGAGAAAUUCCUUUCCAAAAUCCUGCCUUCUUACAUUGACAGCAGCCUAAAAAGUGCUCUUCAGCCCAGUUCCUUUAAACAACAUCUUUGGACUUGUACACUUUGCUUUAUCUGGAUCAGCUGAUUUAGUUCAGAAAUACAGAAGGCCAGGCUUUUUAUUUCAGAGUUGUCAACAAGGUUACAAAGAAAAAAAUACAUUACUAAAUGAAAUUCUAGAUUGCAUUUAGCAUUAGGGUUGUUGUUAGCUGCUUCUGUAUCAGUCUUAUUGAAUAAGUUAUAUUCCUAUUGAAUACUCUUAUUACAAGGUCUUUUUCAUUGCCUCUUUAAUCAGAUUCUCCCUUCCCAGAUUGUAGUAUUUAUAUUUAGUAUUUCUUUCUUUCAGUUUUCCUGCAAAGGUUCAUUAAAAUAGGCACUCUACAUGAAUGGGGUUGUAUCUGUAGCAGUUAAUACAUCUCAGAUAUGGGGAAGAGUAAAUGACAUGCUCUCAGCAUACCUGACAGAGUGCUGUCAGAGUACUUCAUCCAAAUGAUCUUUUCUCCUGAGUUUUUUGCUGCCUUAACACCUCCUUUAUAGCGUAGCCUUCAUUCUUUCUUGCUGUAAUUUAAGACAUUGCUUGCAUUUGAGGAAAAAGUAUGGAAUACUAUGUUGUGUAUGUAAUCUGUUUAAUUUGUCUCCUAUGGCCUUUGGUUUAUUCCCCCUCUGAUAUUUCAAAUUUUGGUUUUGGGGUUAAGUUAUAACUGUAAGCCAUGGGAUUUUGCACUGUUACUUUAAAAAAACAAUCUUUGUAGUACCUGGAUUAUUUUUAAUUUAGUAAUUUAGUAAUUUUUCACUUUGUCGAAACAAUUGUGACUUCCUUAAGGAAGAAAAAAUGCCCAAGUGGUUAUUUUUGUGAUUAGAAUACUAACUUAGUUGUACUUUUGGGGUUUUUUUCCCCCACUUAAGGAUGCCUGAAGUGAGAAGAGAGAACAAAUCUAAAACUAGUCUCAAGAGAGGCUUCCUUGUAUUGUUGGUAAAAUAACCUUAUGUAUUUGUCAGUCCUCACAUAGGAGGAGCUUUGGGAAUAAAUGCUCUAUGAUUCCUGAGUAGCAAGAAGAUUCUAAAGCUGUUUCUAAAAUUCCUUAGCCUGAAGAAAAAAGAAACUGCUUCUAUUUCUUUUGUAAUUAUGUAAUCCUGUGGUAUCAGAAUUGCAGUAAACAUGCAUAGAAGAAAACCUGCAACUCUCACCGUUAAGCAAUAAUUUCUUGCACUGUUAUCUAGUAAUGUUUUAUAUUCAUGAAGCAUGGAUGGGACUUCAUUGUGUGUGUCCAAGCACAUACUCCAAUAACCUCCUGCUGGGAAUUGGAAUGUAAAUAUAAGGGCAGGAAGGAAAGGCUUCAGCUGCCUGCCUCAGGUCAUAGUGCUGCCCUGGAAGGGAGGGCACUGGCAGUUCUCUCUGCUCAGGUGCCUAUUCUGUAAUUUGAGAAGUGAGUAAAAACAUCUUUCAUAUUGAAUUUGAGCUGUUAAAUGCCAGUUAGACCUCAGUGGUCUUGAUCUCUUGUGAUUUUUUUCUCUCCUCUGUUCUUGUCUUUUAAACAAAACAUUCUUGUAGGUAAAAAUUGUUCUUGUAGGUAUUAUGUUUGAUGAUAAAUGUGCUUAAAUUAACUUUCUUAUGUAUUAACACCAGUGUUGCACAUGUGCAGCAUUUAAACCAGCCCUUAAGUUUCAAAUGUGCUGAUGCUAUGUGCUUCAAAUUAAAGAAUUAAGUCAUUCAUGUAAAUCCAGUAGAUGAGCUUUUAUUUUUGCAAUCUCCAUAGUAAAGCAAAAUCUGGAAUAUUGCUGCUGCUUUAUCCAAGUAAGGAGAACUGUUUAUAAGACAUCUACUACUAGUCAGAGAUAGAGUUGAAUGGAAAUAGAGGUUUGUGCAGGAAAGUUUGUUUUAUUUUUUACAUUUUUUUUUUUCCUGAAGAGGGUCUGGAAAAAAUCAUGGUGUUGCAGCUGUUUUGGGCUUGCUUAGGUAUUGUUUACUAGAUAAUGUGUUAUGUUCCACCGUUGCUAGUUCUGAUCUGUAAUGUUACUAAAGGAAAUGGUGGGGGAUGAUUUCUUAAAAUUGUUGUAACAGAACUUGGACCCUGUGGACUUGCACUCUGACUUGACCAACCUUAUCAAGUGCUGGUGAGUGGGAAAGGCUCUGCAAGCUGGUAACCUCCAUGGAGUACUUUAUAAUUCUUUUGCACAGGUGAAUAACUGGUGCUUUGAGUUACUUUGUGACCAUGUCUCCUCUAUCCAUUGUUCCAGGGAUUGUUGUCUGUUGUUUAAUGCCUCGCUUCGUUAUUCAUCACGUGGGUGAAAUAUCAGAAUAAUAAGAAUGAUGUGAAUAAGAAAACAAUUUUAAUUUCAUUUCUUCUUAAAAUAAGAAGCAAUGUGUAGAGGGAAGGCAAGAUGGAUGCAGGUCUUGAGAAAUACAUAUAAUGGCACAUUCUGGGAUGAUCUAUCCAAUGAGAAGGAUGCAUAUGAGGGAGCAGGCUUGUAAAUGCUUGUAAGCUGGAGAGGGUGCUGGCUUUGCAGAGCAGGCCACACACUGUUCCAAAAGAUCUCUGCAGUUUCGUCAAUGGAGUGGUGACUCACCAUUUUCCCAUCUUUUUUCAUUAUCUACUGUCAUCCCAUCAUGACGACAACUACCACAAAAUUGUGGCUAUUCACAGAGGCAGCAAGAAUCCUCACAGCUGCAGUUUUAUGUUGUGGAUGUUCAGUCUCAGAAUUGAAGUGGAUGAGGUUUCUGGGGAAGGUUGAUCUGCUCUGUGCUGCAGGGAAGACAUUGGCCCCAGCUGUGUUUCUUAGAUAUGGUUCUGUUUCUCUCUGGACCAUGGGACAUGGACAGACUUCUUUCCUCCAUGAAUUUUAUAGGAAGGAGAUUUUUUAAAGAUCUUUUUAGAUAACAAAAUGUGAGCAGAAGUAGAGUUUCAUUAGCUAUCUUAAUCUAAACAUUGAAGUUAGCUACUGUUUUCUCCUUGUGGUUACUGUAUUCAACAGUAUCAGCCAUAAUUUUCCUUUAUAUGUUUGUACACUGCAAAAACUUUCAACCUCAAAUACAAGAUGAGACUGUCACCCUUGGAAACUUGUUGUUUAUAUAGUGGUGUCUGAAAUAGCAGUGCAGUUAUAUUUGCAUUGAUGAUAAUGCAGUAGAACUGCUUGGCUUGCCCAUUUUGCAGAUGGUACAGACCUUUCCAUUUCACAGAGGUAAAAUGAAGUGGGUAUUUUGUCUUCUACAUCCUCCUAAAAUACCUUCUUGACAGCAUUGGGGAAAAGUCUGUCUUAAAUGAAAAAGUUUUUUUCAAAGGUUUUUGUCUUCAUUACCCAUACAGAAGAUUUAAAAUCUAACUAAACAGGGAGACUGCAGAUUUCUGUUUUGUUGUUCAGCCUUUCCUUGCUUGGUGGUAACAGAACUACGAGUUUUUAGACCAAAUAAAAUUGUUCUUAAUCCAAACCUUCUUGUCUGUACUGUUUGGCCAUCCAAGAUGGCAGAAUCUUACUUGCUUAGAACUAAUUUAAGCUCAUUUGAGACAAUGUGCUUAAAAAACUUUUUCAGGUCCAAUUUGCCAUGACAGCAGUUAAUGCAAAAACUUGAAAGAUAUCCUUGGAAAACUCUUGGAGUUGAUGUUACUGCUUCAGAUUACACUCUAGUGCAUGCUUGGAUGGAAGUCAGUCCUUGGCUUUUCUGCUGAACUACAAUGAUGUUGAUUUUAUUGAGGGUCCCAGGGGUGGUAGUGUCUAAGAAUUGUACAUCUGCUACUACUAAAUGCCUGUGGCUUUUCAAUUUAUUUCAAGUUCUGUAUUUUUAGGUGAAAAAAAAGAACUUCCACUUACAACUGAACAUUGUUCAUGUUGUUCACAAAAGAACUUUCACUCUUACAACUAAAGAAGUAGGCCUGUCUCUGUUAAUCUCUGUUUUCUGAGGUGCUUGAGGUAUUUUGGGAGCUUUUGCUUACUCUGAGGUUUCUGAAUUACAUGAUUGAAACUGAUCAGUGUCUCAUUAAUUUUCCUCUGUUGUCAUGCAAAGAUGUGAAUGAACAAGACCCUUGUGUUCAUUUUCUCAUCAGAGGCCAAACCUUCAGCUUUUGCUUUGCUGCUGGGCUCAGCUGUUUUGUGGUCACAGAUGAAUUUGCCUGUACCAUUGUUCCCUUUUGUAUCUUGGGUACAUCUCCUGUUAAUACUUGUCCAUAGUGUCUGAAAUGGAAGUAAAUAAAAUACAGAAAAAUAAGACACUUAAGGGUUCUUUCAGCAAAACUCCUUUAGUAUCUGUCAUAAAAAAAGUUGUAAGGCAUUAGUGGGGAAAGGAAAAUGAUUAUUUUAUCGCCUAUGCUGUAUU